rnacentral:lncRNA from 1 species
ACCGCUAGAGUGAACCGGGUGUGCACCAUCCGAAGAAUAAAAGAAACCCUCGCCCAUUUUUCUCGGCCUGAAUCUCUUUCAUCGACGGCUGCUCCUUCAACCCGGUGAUUCAUUUUACGAGCUCGCUUCCAGGUGUUCGUGUUUCUUUAACACUCGUGUAUCAAUCAUUAUGUCGGACGAGGAACCGGUUGACCAGAAGAAGUAUUUUGAAGAGUUAUGCAAGCCCAAGUGUGUUAGAGCUUGGCUUGACUAUCAGGGAUGUGUGAAAAGGGUUCAGGCUGAUGAAACGGGCCACAAACAUUGCACAGGACAGUACUUUGAUUAUUGGCAAUGUGUCGACAAAUGUGUUGCACCUAGGCUAUUUGCAAAACUCAAGUAAAGAGGAUGAUAUAGAGAUACUCUUGGAUUUUGCUUGUAAUUUUUGGUAAACUAAUGCCUUGAGUUGAACUUGAAUAAGGAAAAAAGUGUAUUUUCCCUUGAACUUGAUUGGUUAUGGUGCCCAUUUCCCUUGUAUUCUAUAAAGAAAUAUUUUUCCCUCUUUUAUGAUUUUAAUUUACGUAUUACGUGGUUUAACUUUGAGUAUUUAAAAA